rnacentral:lncRNA from 1 species
UUGAUCUCUCAGGCUCAAGUGAUCCUCCUGCCUCAGCCUCCCGAGUAGCUAGUAUUACAAGUGGCACAUCAGCAUACCUGGCUAACUUUUUAAAUUUUUUUAUAAAGAUGGGGUCCCACCAUAUUGCCCAGGCUGGUCUCAAACCAACUUUUAAAAAUAGCCUUUAUUUUUUAGAGUGGUUUUAGGUUCACAGCAAAAUUAAGCAGAAAGUACAGAGUGAUCCCAGAUACUCCCUGCCCACACACGUGCAUAGGGUCCUCCACUGUCAACAGCUCCAACCAGAGUGGUGCAUUUCUUUCCAUCAAUGAACCUGCACUGACUUAUCAUUAUCACCUGGAUUCCACAGUUUACACUAGGAUUCCCUCACUUACAGACAUGCAGUUAAGUUUUUUCCAUGUCUUUUUGUGGUUUCAUGGCUCAUAUUUUUUUUUUUUUGUAGCACUGAAUACUGAAUAGUAUUCCAUUGUCUGGAUAUACCCCAGUUUAUUUAUUCAGCAUCUACUGAGGGUCAUCCUUGUAGCGUCUAAGUUUUAGCAAUUGUGAAUAAAGCUGCUAUAAAAUUGGUGUGCAGGUUUCUGUGUGGAUGUACAUUUUCAGUUCCUUUGGGUAAAUACCAAGGAGCAUAAUUGCUGAGUCGCCUGGUAACAAUAUGUUUAAUUUUGUGAAAAACCACCAAACUGUCUUCCAAAGUAUUUGUUCUGUUUUGCAUUCCCACUGGCAAUGAAUGAAACUUUAUUUUAUUUUAUUUUUUGAGACAGGAUUUUGCUUUGUCAUCCAGACUGGGGUGCAGUGGCCCAAACAUGGCUCACUGCGGCCUCAAUCUCCUGGGCCCAAGUGAUCCUCCUGCCUCUGUCCCCCAAGUAGCUGGGACUACAGGCACACACCACCAUGCUCUGCUAUUUUUUGUAUUUUUUGUAGAGAUGGGUUUUUGCCAUGUUGCCCAGGCUGCUCUCAAACUCCUGAGCUCAACGAUCUGGCAGCCUUGGCCUCCCAAAAUGCUGGGAUUACAGGUGUGAGCCACUGCACCCGGCCGAGACUUUUAUUUUAAAUCACAGAUGAAAGUGACUUGCUUAAGAUUACACAACUAUUAGUUGGUAGAGCAGCACUUCUGGUUCCAUACUCUGGGUAGUUUCUGUUUGACCACACUGUCCCCUCAGCUAGACAAGCCAAUCCCAUGCCCUUACAAACACUCCCACAUUUCCUGACCCUUGCUUUUGAGGCCUCAUUCUUGGUGCAGAAGCUUCCUGAGGCAUCCUUCUUCUGCUCCAUGAAGGAAAGACUGUCAUCCAUCCAGGUCCUGUGUCUGAGAAGCUUGCGAUGCUCUUGCAGUGCCCUGGCAUGCGCAGGGGCCAAUGUCCAGUUGUCCAAGCUUACCUGUGCCAAGAGAGGACCCGGGUGGCUCUGCAAGGCCCUCUUUCUAGUCAGAAGAGACCCGGCCAGCCCCAGAAUCUGAGGAGUCACUGGAACGUCAUCAGGGACUAGGAGAGGAAAAGGCCCCCAUGGCGCUCCCCUCUCUCCAGAUCCAAGCUCUUUCUUUGUCUCUUUUUGAUGCGAAAUUCACAUAACAUAAAAAUUAACCAUUUUAGGCCAGGCAUGGUGGCUCAUGCCUGUAAUCCCAGCACUUUGGGAGACCAAGGUGGGUGAAUGACAUGAGGCCAGGAGUUCGAGACCAGCCUGGCCAACAUGGAGAAAGCCCAUCUCCACAAAAUAAAUAAAAAACAACGAAAUUGACCAUUUUAAAGUGAACAAUUCAGUGGCAUUUAGCACAUUCACGACGCUGUGCAGCUACCACUUUUAUCUAGUUCCAACACUCUCAUCACUCCAAAGAGAAACCCCAUCCCUGUUAAGCAGCCAGUGUCGCUUUUCGCCCUCUUCCUAGCCCCGGACAGCCACCAAUCUGUGUUCUGUCUCUUUGGGUUUACCCAGUCUGGUAAUGGAAUAAAUGGAAUCAUACAACAUGUGGCCUUUUGUGUCUGGGUCCAAGUUAUUUUCCAUUACUCCCUGAGGAAGGAGGAGGAGAAGGGACCUCUUCUGCCUUUGUCUCCCUCCCCGUCCCUUGUCCACCUUGCCCUGUGCGCCCACCAGCAGCACCUGUGGCUCAGCUCCUCCAUUCUAUGCUAUUUCCUAUUUCUCUUUUUUAUUUUUUGAAAAAGGGACUCACUCUGUUGCCCAGGCUGGAGUGCAGUGACGUGACCGUAGCUCACUGCAGCCUCAACCUCCCAGGCUCAAGUGACACUCCCACCUCAGCCUCCUGAGUAGCUGGGACUACAGCAUGCACCACUACGGCCAACUAAUUUUUAAAACUUGUUUUUUGUAGAGACUGAGUUUCGCCAUGUUGCCCAGGCUGGUCUCGAAUUCUUGGCCUCAAGUGAUCCUCCUGCCUCUGCCUCCCAAUGUGCUGGGAUCACAGGCAUGAGCCACCAUACUCAGCCUCCUAUUCCUUUUUUUUUUUUUCAAUUUUGUACAUUUUUAAUUCUAAAUUUUCUCAUUACACAAAUAAAAAGUGAAGUAAUAGCUGUUGAAAUGUUGGCUCUAUUAGCAUAAAAAGAAUUUGCAAACGGUUAAAUAUUUCCAAUUUCAUAUCAAUGUCAUCAGUUGCUUUGAAGGAAAAAAACAGUUAAUUCCAAUAGUGUUUGAUUUUUAUUUUUCAUCUAAUUCAUAACAUCCUAUUCCUUUUAAUUACCCUUAGCAGAGUACUUUGAGGAGUCAUAGAUGCAUUCAACAAAUAGCCCAUAGGCUAGCAGCGGGGAGAGACAGGUUAAGUGUCAUUAAAACUGUGAUAAGGCAACACUAGCAGUUUUACAGAGAGCCAGGGGACCCAGAGGAGAGACAACUAAUUCAGCCUGGAGGUGAGGCUGGUGAGGGAAGACAACACGGAGGAGACAGAUGCGGGGCGGGGGAGGGCAGGCCGGGUCUGUCUUGUUCACUGUUCCUCAGCACUCAGGGUAGUUCCUGGCAACUAGAACGGGGAUGAGUGAACAAGUUAAUGAAUCAAGCAGGCAAUCUAUCAGCCAAGAGCUGAAGAAUUAAUAGGAGUUGUCUCUACCAGAAAAAAUGGGUAGAGCAUAUCUGGAGACUUGUAGGCAAGAGGGUCAGCCCUUUUAUUACACUGAGUGGUAUUUCGGUCUAGAUGAAGGUUGAAGAAGAUGGGGGGUAAGGACAGAAGAAGUUGGGGCCAGAUCAUGCAGGGCCUUGGAAGCGACAUAAAGGAGUUUGACUGAGUAAAAAGAGCGACCUGAGUAAAAAGAGGGACCACUGAAGGGUUUUGCGCAGAUGUACGUUUUAGAAACACAUCUGUCUAAUCCAGGCUAGGGAUAAUGAUGACCUAACGAGGCUCCCAGCAGACAGAACGUCAUUCUUGCACUCCUGCUAUUGGUGUUCUACUGGAAAACAGAGGUGUUUAAUCAAAAAUAACCAUAAAAAAAUUAAUGAAUUAAUCAUAAGGAUGCAAGGUGCUCUGAGGGAUGCUAUGAGUCAAGAAAAUCCUUCUCAAGACCAGGAGGGACUUUGAAAUCAAAACUUGGGAGAUGAACAGGAGUUGGCCAACACUGAAGCUUUUGGGAACGUCCUGAGCAACCUGUGGUGAAGGAAGUGAGAGAAGUCCAGGGUAGUUGCGGUGAAGAGUGUGAGGCUGGGAGACUGAUCGGAUGAGGCUGGGGCGAUAAGUAGGGCUCAGACCAGAACGACCCUAUUACACAUUUUGGACUUACCCUAAGCAAAAUAGGAAGUCCUUGAUGAUGUAAACAGGACCCUAUUUUGAAAAAUAGGAUUAAUUGCAUUUCUCUUUUGCAUUUCUGUGCAUGUGACCUUCUUCCUGCUCAGCUCAAACAUCUGCUUCCUUGGGGAAAGGGACUAGGAUUAUCAAAGAAAAAAAUGGAGAGGAAGAUAAUGAAUAGCUUCUGACCUCCAAAAUAAGAUUUUUCAGCCAGACAAUAGUCUCAAAAGACAUUAUUUUUAAAAGAAAAAAGAUGUUCUGUUGUCUUUAGCUCCCUCUUUAAGAUAUCAAGAAGCCCUGACAGAAUUAAUCAUGGGGCUUUACCUAAAGAAAAGAAUAGAAGAGAAACCCCUGACCUUUAGUCCAAAGGAUGGCAAGGAGGAGGCCAGAGAGAAAGCAGGUGGGAAGGAAGUCAGAUAUGCGUCCUAAUCUUCUAUCUUCCAUUGGAAGUCCCAGAGGGUGAAGAUGCCUUAGAAGAGAGAGGAACAGGUGGUCCUUUUAGGUCCCUGGGAAGAGAUUUCCUUGAAUAUCUAUCCAGAGGUCUUCACAUCAAAGUAAACUUGGUGGUUUGGUGUGGUUAGUCACAGAGAGGGUUUGAACUUAACCUUCUCAAGCCACCCUGGGUUCCCAUGUGGUGUGAAAAUGAUGUCUACGCUAGAUCUUUAGCUGUGGUUUUUGCUUAAGAAACUGACUAGAAGCAAAUAGAUUGAAAACCUACCAAGCUUUUAAAGAAAAUGUAUAAAAUUUUUUUUAAAAAGCAGUGAGUAUGGUCUGUCAUAACCUUAACAGUUAAAUCCUAAAACAAUCCAGGGGCCCCAGAACCUGCCGCAGCAAGAAGUAGGCUGUGAAUACCCGGGGAGCCCACUCACCAAUGCCCAUAUCGAGGGUGGCCAUGGAGGUUAGUGAACCAGGAAGAACCUCCCAGAAGGAAGAGCCCAGAGACACAGACAAUGAACAAAAUAAUUAUUCCCAGAGAGCAAAUUUUUCCCCCAACCUCUGGCUCCAGACUUUCAGAUAAGAGAAGAAAACCUUGUAUGUUCAAGGUUCUGUUGAUUUGGGUUUUCAGGCACAGGCGGCUGCAUGGAAUCCUAACGGAAGUACCUCUCCAAUAGGCUUGGAGUAGGAGCCUGAAGUAAUCAGUUUGGUUUUAGGGACCCAGAACCUGCAGCAGCAGCAGGAAAUAGCAGGCUGUGAACACUCAUAUCAGUUUGUUUUGGCUGCAAAGUGGGGACUGGAGAUGACUGUGGUUGUCUGGAUGAGAGAUGAGAGGGGCUUAUACUAGGAUGGAGGCAGUGGGUAAACAUAACUUCACAAGACUCUCAGCUGUGAAGCUGAAAUGCGAGUGGGGCCAAGGUCGGUUUUUGUCAUGUUUAAGAUGGAUGAUACUUGAUCACAUUUAAUGCUGAUGGGAAAGGGCCCUUGAAAAGACUGACGUCAACCACAAAAUAAGAAUAGGAGGAAGCUGGUGGAAGAGGGUCCCUGAGAAGAAGGAGCACGGUGGGUACCCAGAGCUGGGCAAAGGAAGGGGCUUGGGGGCAGGAGGGGCCCUUCUCUGUCAAAUCAGGAGAAGGAGGGAAGGUGGGAGACAGAUGGCAGCGAUGGGAGAUGGAGGAGAUGCCCUCUGAUGGCCUCCAUUUUCUGUGAGGUGGAAGGUGACAUCGUCUGUAGAAAGUGAGGGGGCUGGGGGGCCUGAGAAGAGGGGAGCCCCUCUGGGGAACAAGAGAACACUGGCCGGGAAAACACAGAGGGCUCAGGACCAGGGCAGGGUGGAAACAUGACGUGAUGGUGGCACCCAUCUGCACGUCCUCCAGCUCCUGGCAUUAAAUGCCUAAAACCGAACUCAGGACCUGGGCCUCCUGCCCCCGACCCAGCUCCUCCUCUUGCCUCCCAGUUUUUAUUCCUGGAACCAGACCUCUCAGACUCGGCUUCCCCAGGAACGUCCUUCUGACAUCACUGCUAGUGCGGACUCUUGCGGGGCCUCCUUCCUCCCCCCGCCCACCUUUCCUGCACACCUGCAGCAAUAACCUCUCUAGAGUGGGACUGCGGCUGUGUCACCCCUCCGCCAUGCAGCUGCCCCAUUUGCAGCUUCCAAUACCUAGAAAUAAAUCUCUCAUUUCUUCUUACUUUUGGGGUCUGUUUAAAUGCCACUGAUUCUGGAAAGCCCUUUCUAACCAUCCCCCAGACUAGGGAAAGUCCCCUUGGUACCUGCCCCCAUGGUGCCUUAUACAUCUCUGUGAGACACUCGUGAACCUGUAAUUACUUAUUCUACAAUGGCCAGUAGCCAGGACAAUGGCCUGGGGUGGGGGUGGGGGCCCUAAGGCUUCCUUGUCCCCUCUGUCUUCCUGGAGCCGAGAACAGUGCCUAGCACAAAUAGGCACUCAAUAAAAGGCGUUGAUAGACUGACUAUAGAAAGGUUCAAGCCUGCCUUAGGUUGGCAGCUUAAAUUUCCAACAUCCCCAAUCAGCCCAUGCUCAGGACAUCCAGGCCUCCUGCACAGCCCCCAAAGCCAACCCAUGUUCUCUUCCCCUUGUGUUAGAUUGUUCCCUUGGCCAGGCACGCUUGCUCUCUUCUUUAUCCAUUUUUUUUUUUUUUUUUUUUUUUGAGGCAGGGUCUCACUUUGCUGUCCAGGCUGGAAUGCAGUGGCAUUAUCACAAUUCACUGCAGCCUCCACCUCCUGGGCUCAAGCGGUCCUCCCACCUCAGCCUCCUGAGUAGCUGGGAUCACAGGUGUAUGCAACCAUGCCCAGCUAAUUUUUUAAGUUUUUAUAGAGACGAGGUCUUGUCGUGUUACCCAGGCUGGUCUUGAACUCCUGGCCUCAAGUGAUCCACCUGCCUUGGGCCUCCUGAAGUGCUGGGAUUACAGGUGUGAGCCACCGUGCCCGGCUCCACUCCAUCUUACCCAUAGCCAUCCCACUUUCAGGCUCCAAUUUAGGAUCCUCUCCUCCAUGGAAUUGUCUCUGAAAUCCCCCCACCUGCCACAGGCCAAAAUGUCUGUGCUCCUUCUCCUUCCACUCCAACCAGAUUGCAACCUCCUUGAGGGCAGCUUCUAGUUUUUAGUUCAUUGCUAUUUCCAGUGAAAACAUUUGGCUGUGAAAUAAAGAGACACCUCAUUUCUAACACUGGCAUCAACAGUGUCUUAUAGAACUGUGUCCCAAGAGUGCCUUUGGCGGUGUCAUGCACUUAGUAGGAACACAAAAAUAUUUUUUAAUGAAUAUUUUCUCCCUCAUCCCUGUAAGAAUAUAAUGGUGACAGUCUCCAACUGCACACUAAUUUUUUUAAAUGCGGUUCUCUUAUGUUUAAAACACAAGGUGUCUGUUUUUAUCAGUGAAUGUAGUCUGUCUUUUCAGAUUUAUUCCAUCUUUGAGAAACAAAUGCAUGCCAUUUGCACUGGAUCAAGGUAGUAACUGUACUUGCCAGUGGAACAGACACACCACUGUGUAAGAAAAAAGGAAUUUCUGGCCGGGUGCAGUAGCUAACCCCUGUAAUCCCAGCACUUUGGGAGGCCGAGGCAGGUGGAUCACUACAGAUCAGGAGUUCGAGACCAGCCUGGCCAACAUGGUGAAACCCCAUCUUUACUAAAAAUACAAAAAUUAGCUGGGCUUGGUGGUGCAUGCCUGUAGUCCCAGCUACUUGGGAGGCUGAGGCAGAAGAAUCACAUGAACCCGGGAGGCAGAGGUUGCAGUGAGCCAAGAUUGUGCCGCUGCACUCUACCCAAACAAUAGAGCGAGACUCCAUCUCAAAAAUAAAUAAAAUAAAAAGAAAAAAAAAAAGAGAGAAUUUCUAAUGGAGUUGAGAUUUUCCAACACAUCCAGCAACAUUUGUCUCUUGGGUUACUGAAUGAGACCAUUUAUAUAAAGGCACAUGAAAAGGUUACGAAGUAUGGAAAUAAAGGGGAAACAGUACCACUAGUCUCUAUUAGUUUAUUUUCUGUGCUAAUGUUUCAUGAUUCUUUUUUAGUUCAGAAAAUAGAGUCACUGGGAUUCUCAGAAAUACUACCUAAAUAUAAAUCCAUAGAGACAGAAAGCAGAUUGGUGGUUGUCAGGGGUUGGGGAGGGAGGACUGGGGAGUAGUAGCUUAAUGGGUUUGGGGUUUUCUUUCUGGGUGAUGAAAAUAUUUUGCAACUAGACAGAGGUGGUAGUUGUAUUAUACAACAUCGUGAAGGUAAUAAAUGCCACUGAAUUGUUCACUCUAAAAUGGUUCAUUUUCUUCUAUAUGAAUUCCACCACAAAACAAAGAUAUGUCACCUAUAUAAUACUGAAUAGUUUCCAAAGGUCCUGAGGGACAAGGCAGCGUUAUGCUCUGAAAUAGCAGCAGAUCUGAAGGCCCCACAGCAGCCUGUACUUUGCCUUUGGAGAAAGAAGGGGGGUCCCCCGUGUCUAACCAGGGCCCUGUCCUCACAGUGCCCUCAGAGACAUUCAGCCGAAUGCCACUGCAGUCCAGGCCACUGCGGAGUGUUUGUGUUUUGGUUUGUUUUCCCCUUGGGCUUACAGAAGGACUUGUGAAGGUGUUUAGUUUGGUUAAGGACUUCCCACUUCCAGAGGUGGAGCCUGAAGAAGGUUCUAUUUUUUUUCUUCAAGUGAGUGGAACUUUCCAGGGACAACAACUCACAGGCUAUGGAUAGACUACGGAUGCACUUCACUGUGGCCUCUACUCAUGAGGGGCCUAAUGGACGAGGAGGAGGAGGAUCUGCCCAAUGGGCAGUCAUGGGGUAUAGUCCCCUCUCCACUCCAGGAAGGUUUGGCAAAGGCAGAAGCUGACUGCAAAGACUGGAUGGGUUGGGUGCAAUGGCUCACGCCUAUAAUCCCAGCAUUUUGGGAGGCCGAGACGAGUGGAUCACCUGAGGUCAGGAGUUCGAGACCAGCCUGGACAACAUGACGAAACUCCGUCUCUACUAAAAAUACAAAAAAUUAGCUGGGCGUGGUGGUGGGCGCCUGUAAUCCCAGCUACUUGGGAGGCUGAGGCAGGAGAAUAGCUUGAACCCGGGAGGCAGAGGUUGCAAUAAGCCAAGAUCACACCACGGCACGCUAGCCUAGGCAACAAGAGCAAAACUCUGUCUCAAAAAAAAAAACCCGAAAAAACAAAAAAAACAAAGAAGACUGGAUGGACUUGUCCUAACAGCUCACAGUGUCUCAGGAAACAGUCCUUUAGUUGUCUCAUCAGGUGUAAGAACAGCAUCCUAGACCAGGUACACAGUUGGCCCUGAAGGCCAUCAGACCUGUGUGAGGGCCUGGCAGGGCCCUGUGGCCAGCAGGGGCUGAGCUACCCAUGUACAAGUAUCCCAUUCACCCUUUAAACACACAGGCCAAAAGGAAAAUCGCACUCUUCAUUUCAAACAUGGCACUGGAGCCCAGAGCCCAGUGGCUUCACCUUAAUCAAGUUGCCUCCAUCAACACUGUCACAAAGGUCUAUGAUUUCAACUACUUAAGUUUCCCUCUGACUUGAGCCCGUCACCUCUUUUCAUAUGCCCUCACACAUACAUGGUCUCGUUGCUCAACAUGUUGGAAAAUAUCAGCUCCAGGAGAAAUUCCUUUUCCCUUACAUAGUGGCAGGCCUAAUGAACACAGAAAGCCUGGAGACUGGGUUGUGUUCACUUGGGGAACUCUAGGUCCAGCAAAAGGGGAUGGUCCCAGGGAUCCCUCACCAAGACAGCUUUCCUGGGGAAGCAGAUUGUGCUUAAUCCUCAAAACUGCAAAUUUGUUGGAAAUGUCAUCAAGAGUUAACCAUUACCCCAGGUCACUGAACUGGUUUGGGCCGAGGCAGCCUAGAAUGACAGGUGACUGCAACAUUCCCCCAACAGACCGUCUUAGGUUGAGAACCCAGUAGAGGUCGCCCCUUACUUUUUUUCUCCAUAAGAAACUGAAAAACUGUCUGGAUGCUUUGAAAGCAUUUACAGCUGCUCAGAGAAGCUUCUGACUCCAUCUAAUAAGCCCCUGGCAGCCAUCAACCUCUCUAAUUGCCCUAUAGGUGAAGAGGUGGGAAUUUAAAUAAACAGUGGAUUUUGAAGAUGAACAAUGUUAUGGAAGGGCCUAGGCAUGACAGCCAAGCAUCAAAGCAUGAGCACAUGUGUCUCUCUUGACAACAUAAUCCCCAAAGCUCAGAGAAGCUGGAUGUGGACCUCCCGAGCAUCUGCCUCCUUGGCAUUUAUACCACAAGGAAACAUACCAGUUACUCAAGAAAGUACAGGUAGCACUGAAACCCUCCAGAUUCCUUCUGGUUCCUUGUCUACUCAGGCAGAAGAGGUCAUUACAAGGCCCAAUGCUACGACUCUGAGUGGCCCUGUUCCCUAAUGCCCCUGGCUCACAUAAAAGGAAAACGAGGCCAUGUGCGGUGGCUCACGCCUGUAAACCCAGCACUUUGGGAGGCUGAGUCGGGUGGAUCACUUCAGGUCAGGAGUUCGAGACCAGCCUGGCCAACAUGGGGAAACCCCGUCUCUACUAAAAUUACAAAAGUUACCCAGGUGUAGUGGUGCACAUCUGUAAUCCCAGCUACUUGGGAGGCUGAGGCAGGAGAAUCAGUUGAACCCAAGUGGCAGAGGUUGCAGUGAGCCAAGAUCAUGCCACAGCACUCCAGCCUGGGCAACAGAGUGAAACUCCAUCUCAAAAAAAAAAAAAAAAAAAAAAGGAAAAGGAAGGCAUAUUGUUAUUCUUCUUAAGUAGGUACUCUUCUAUAUUAUAUAUUAUAUAUAAAAUAAAAAAGGAAAAGGAAGGCAUAUUGUUAUCCCUCCUGUUUACUUAUAUAUUUUACAUAUAUAAUAUAAUAUUAUCAUGACCCUGCUCCUUUACUGAUGAGGAAACUAAGGGUCAGAGAGGUUAAAUGGCUCUCUCCAAACCUCAAUAGCCAGUGAGUAUUGGGGGCAGGCCUAGGAUUUAGGGUCCCUGUGACUCCCAGCUCAGUGCUCUUGGUGUCUCCAGAGAAUGAGGCCUAUACACUGAGCUUGUCUAAAGCAUGUGGGAGGCCAGGCAUGGUGGCUGAUGCCUGUGAUCCCAGCACUUUGAGAGACUGAGGCAGGAGGACUGCUUGAGUCCAGGAGUUCAAGAAGCGCCUGGGCAACAUGGUGAAACCCUAUCUCGACAAAAAAUACAAAAAUUAGCCAGGCAUGGUGGCAGAUGCCUGUAGUCCCAGUUACUUGGAAGGCUGAGGUGGGAGGAUCACCUGAGCCGGAGAGGUCAAGGCUGCAGUGAGCCAUGGCUGUGCCACUGCAUGCCACCCUGGGUGAUAGAAUGAAAUCUUAUCUCAAAAUAAAAUAAAAUAAUAAAGCAUAUUGGAGCAAGUGGUAUAAUUUCUAGGGCUAAGUCUCAGCCAGCUGCCAGCCACCAUGGGCCUUAACUCAUGACAGGGUUUCGUCCCUAUCAUUCGCACUACAAGGAAAGAGUACCCCAGAGCAGAUGUUCCCCAAUCACCCUGGGAUUCCUGGUCUACAGGAUAAUGGGGGCCUGAGAUGACACUUUUAAGUGCUCAACACCUAACAGCCUGUGACUUUUCAAAAACAGAAGUCUAGAGAUGUGAUCACCCAACAUAUUUGCACGGUUUUCUGAGCCCUUUCCUGCUCGUGAUCUCAUCCAACCACCCUGACAACCUUAGCCAUACAUUUAAUUGGUUCUUUGAAGAUUUCUGGGUUUCCAGAGUCAACCUGUUCAAACAAAAUACCCCAAGGAAGGGAUAGCACCUUAUACUUUUAUUGGCUCACAGCUUGGCAAGAGUUGGCAGCUGGCUGAGAAUUAGGCCCUGAGAAGGAAACAGGAUCAGGAGGGAUUGGGAAGGGGUCAAAAGGGAAAAGAAGAAUGAGACGGGGCGGUAGACAUGCCCCGAUGCCCUCCCAGAAGCCCACCUCACAGCUUUGCAGAAAGAGGUUCUAAGCAAGCAGAAGGAAGUUCCCAGCUCCCCCAGCCCCCCUGCCACCCCACCAGCAGAAAAACCAACUUUACCCAUGAGGGCCAAAGGUAGAGAGGAAUAGAAGAAAAAGAGAAGAAAAAGGAGAGAUGGGAAGACAGAAUAAACCAACCAUCAGAGGCUCUUCAAUCUUAAUUCAUUUUAUUCUACAAAAUGCUACUCAACUGAAAGUGGAA